AAGUUUCACGCCUUUCCGUGCAGUGCAGUGGCAAUAAAAUGUUACAUUAACAGAUGUUAAUAAAAGGACACCUGUGCAGGCAUGCAGUGUAAACACAUGGCUGGUCCCAUAACUUAUUGUGCUUUAUGGUCAACAUCACAAACUUAAAUACACCGUAUCAGGACAUGCUAUAGAAACACACACACACACACACACACACACACACACACACACACACACACACACACACACACACACACACACACACACACACACACACACACACACACACACACACACACACACACACACACACAAACAUACGCACACGCAAAGACAUCAAGUGGAUAGCUAGAAGUGUUGAGCUAUCUGGCUCAGAACUCGGUGCUCAAGCUGACACACACACAGGGCCUUAUCAUGGGGCCUUAUGCACACGCUACACUUUACUGUCAUUAGUUAAGAGAAAAUGGCGGGACUCGUCGCACACUUUGGUCGUGUACAUGCUAAGCACAUGUAGAAUGUAAAUGUCCCUCUCACAACCCUUCAGUUCUGAAUACUAAUCCAUCACGAAAUGAUCCACCUCAACUAUUUUUCUCCGUUCAUACUGUAGUUCUUCUCCAGUGGAACAAAUCUUAAAAAUAUAUUAUAAUAUAUGAGUAUAUUAAUAAUAAAUAUUAUAUUUGUUAUAACUUUGUUAUUACACACAUCUCGAGCCCACCUCCGGUCAGACCACUGUGGCUAGGGGGGGGAGGGGGGGGGGUUGGGGGUCUACUCCUCCCUGCCGCGCGUUGGGCACAGACAGAUGGCGCGGCCGGCUAAUUGCCUUAGCUCUUGGCCCGGCGCAGUCAAACCUAAUGAGGAUUAAGCGCUGUGAGCCCCCCAUACCCCCCCCCCCCAACCCCAGGUCCACGAGUUGCAAAUUAUUUGGUCAGUGAGUUGAGUCUCGGUUGUGCGUUGACCUGUAUCACCUCCACCUCCGCCAUUGACCAGCACCACCCGGGCCUGACAGCCUCUAGAAGGUUCUAGUAUGUGACUCUCUGUGUCACACCACACACCUGUGUGUGCACUCUCACUGAGCAGGUUUGGCUGUGACCAGCGAAAAAUCCUGCUGACCAAAACUCAACCAAAUCCCGAUAUAUUGCGUGCAGGGAUUCUCCAAAUAACAAAAAUAGCACAACGUCCACAAAGUGACAUAAAACUUGUUUUGCGAAAGUUUCAAGUCGCACAUCAACAACUCGACCAAACAGGAAGGUUUUGGCGACUGUAACUACGAUACCACACAUUGUGUGGGGUUUCAGCUGCACAAUGGAGCUGAGCUUCCUGCACCUUUUCACUUUAGCAUUCCUUUAUAGUGUUGGUGCACUGAAAGACUCUCAGUGACAACGACACACCCACACAGAAACCAAUACCCCCCCGACACACACACACACACACACACACACACACACACACACACACACACACACACACACACACACACACACACACACACACACACACACACACACACACACACACACACACACACA